ACCUGCGGAGGGAUCAUUACAAGUGACCCCGGUCUAACCACCGGGAUGUUCAUAACCCUUUGUUGUCCGACUCUGUUGCCUCCGGGGCGACCCUGCCUUCGGGCGGGGGCUCCGGGUGGACACUUCAAACUCUUGCGUAACUUUGCAGUCUGAGUAAACUUAAUUAAUAAAUUAAAACUUUUAACAACGGAUCUCUUGGUUCUGGCAUCGAUGAAGAACGCAGCGAAAUGCGAUAAGUAAUGUGAAUUGCAGAAUUCAGUGAAUCAUCGAAUCUUUGAACGCACAUUGCGCCCCCUGGUAUUCCGGGGGGCAUGCCUGUUCGAGCGUCAUUUCACCACUCAAGCCUCGCUUGGUAUUGGGCAACGCGGUCCGCCGCGUGCCUCAAAUCGACCGGCUGGGUCUUCUGUCCCCUAAGCGUUGUGGAAACUAUUCGCUAAAGGGUGCUCGGGAGGCUACGCCGUAAAACAAACCCAUUUCUAAGGUUGACCUCGGAUCAGGUAGGGAUACCCGCUGAACUUAAGCAUAUCAAUA
rnacentral:rRNA from 1 species